AACGUAGGAGACAAACGUUAUCCGGAGUUACUGGGCGUAAAGGGCGUGUAGGUGGUUUCGUAAGUCUGGCGUGAAAUUUCUCGGCGUUAACCGAGGCAGGUCGUCGGAUACUGCGGAACUUGAGGACGGUAGAGGCGUGUGGAAUUCCGGGAUGUAGUGGUGUAAAUGCGUAGAGAUCCGGAGGAACACCAGUGGGCGAAGGCGACACGCUGGGCCGUACCUGACACUGAUGCGCGACACAGGGGAG
rnacentral:rRNA from 1 species